GGGGCAGGUCACAAUGCAGUCGAGCGGUAACAGGGGAACUUGCUUCUCGCUGACGAGCGGCGGACGGGUGAGUAAUGUAUGGGGAUCUGCCCGAUAGAGGGGGAUAACUACUGGAAACGGUAGCUAAUACCGCAUAAUCUCUCAGGAGCAAAGCAGGGGAACUUCGGUCCUUGCGCUAUCGGAUGAACCCAUAUGGGAUUAGCUAGUAGGUGGGGUAAUGGCUCACCUAGGCGACGAUCCCUAGCUGGUCUGAGAGGAUGAUCAGCCACACUGGGACUGAGACACGGCCCAGACUCCUACGGGAGGCAGCAGUGGGGAAUAUUGCACAAUGGGCGCAAGCCUGAUGCAGCCAUGCCGCGUGUAUAAAGAAGGCCCUAGGGUUGUAAAGUACUUUCAGUCGGGAGGAAGGCGUUGAUGCUAAUAUCAUCAACGAUUGAGGUUACCCACAGAAGAAGCACCGGCUAACUCCGUGCCAGCAGCCGCGGUAAUACGGAGGGUGCAAGCGUUAAUCGCAAUUACUGGGCGUAAAGCGCACGCGGGCGGUUGAUAAAGUUAGAUGUGAAAUCCCCGGGCUUAACCUGGGAGUGGCAUCUAAGACUGUGCAGCUAGAGUCUUUGUAGAGGGGGGUAGAAAUUCUAUGUGUAGCGCUGAAAUGCGUAGAGAUGUGGAGAAAUACCGGUGGCGAAGGCGGCCCCCUGUACAAAGACUGACGCUCAGAUGCGAAAGCGUGGGGAGCAACAGGAUAGAUCGCUGGUCCACAACACUAACCUGUGUCUUUGAAGGUGUGUCUGACAGUGGUUCUGAGCUACGCGUUUAAUCCACCGCCUGGGAGUACGCCGCAGGUAAAACUCCAAUAAAUGCGGGGCCGCACACCGUGAGCAUAUGUUAUUCGAUCACCGAGACCUACUAUCUGGAGUCGGGAAUCUUUUGAGAUCUAGAGGCUUCGGAACCUAA
rnacentral:rRNA from 1 species